AGGGGCGUAGCUCAGCUGGUAGAGCAGCGGUCUCCAAAACCGCAGGUCGCGGGUUCGAGUCCUGCCGCCCCUG
rnacentral:tRNA from 1 species